UCGCAGAUCAGAAUGCUGCGGUGAAUGCGUUCCCGGGUCUUGUACACACCGCCCGUCACACCACGGGAGUUGGAGACGCCCGAAGCCGAUUAUCUAACCUUUUGGAAGAAGUCGUCGAAGGUGGAAUCAAUAACUGGGGUGAAGUCGUAACAAGGUAGCCGUAUCGGAAGGUGCGGCUGGAUCACCUCCUUU
rnacentral:rRNA from 1 species